rfam:Gossypium arboreum cultivar AKA8401 contig_8028_5, whole genome shotgun sequence.
UGUUAAAGAUUUCAUCCAUUUCUACUGUUAAAAACUGGUGUAACUAACGAAAUAACCAGAUAGUUACACGUAGCGUGCCAUGUGUACCUCAUGCUGAUAUGCGGGGACCAAUUUUUAAUGGUAAAAAUGGAUGAAAUUUUUAACA